ACAGAGGGUGCAAGCGUUAAUCGGAAUUACUGGGCGUAAAGCGCGCGUACGCGGCUGUUUAAGUCGGGUGUGAAAGCCCCGGGCUCAACCUGGGAACUGCAUUCGAUACUGGACGGCUAGAGUAUGAAAGAGGGAGGUAGAAUUCCACGUGUAGCGGUGAAAUGCGUAGAUAUGUGGAGGAAUACCGGUGGCGAAGGCAAUCCCCUGGGCCUGCACUGACGCUCAUGCACGAAAGCGUGGGGAGCAAACAGGA
rnacentral:rRNA from 1 species